rnacentral:rRNA from 1 species
AGAGUUUGAUCCUGGCUCAGAGCGAACGCUGGCGGCAGGCUUAACACAUGCAAGUCGARCGGGCGUAGCAAUACGUCAGYGGCAGACGGGUGAGUAACRCGUGGGAACGUACCUUUUGGUUCGGAACAACACAGGGAAACUUGUGCUAAUACCGGAUAAGCCCUUACGGGGAAAGAUUUAUCGCCGAAAGAUCGGCCCGCGUCUGAUUAGCUAGUUGGURRGGUAAYGGCYYACCAAGGCGACGAUCAGUAGCUGGUCUGAGAGGAUGAUCAGCCACAUUGGGACUGAGACACGGCCCAAACUCCUACGGGAGGCAGCAGUGGGGAAUAUUGGACAAUGGGGGCAACCCUGAUCCAGCCAUGCCGCGUGAGUGAUGAAGGCCCUAGGGUYGUAAAGCUCUUUUGUGCGGGAAGAUAAUGACGGUACCGCAAGAAUAAGCCCCGGCUAACUUCGUGCCAGCAGCCGCGGUAAUACGAAGGGGGCUAGCGUUGCUCGGAAUCACUGGGCGUAAAGGGUGCGUAGGCGGGUYUUUAAGUCAGRGGUGAAAUCCUGGAGCWCAACUCCAGAACUGCCUUUGAUACUGRRRAUCUUGAGUWYGGRAGAGGUGAGUGGAACUGCGAGUGUAGAGGUGAAAUUCGUAGAUAUUCGCAAGAACACCAGUGGCGAAGGCGGCUCACUGGYCCRWWACUGACGCUGAGGCACGAAAGCGUGGGGAGCAAACAGGAUUAGAUACCCUGGUAGUCC